GGCCAGCCUAAGGUGCCAUAGGUAUUUUUGGCUAAUGCUAUCUCUAAAUCUCUUAGACUCUAUGGCAUUCAUAGUUUGCUCAUUAAUAUUAAUACUCGCAUCCAUAUGCAAAUGAUAAAGACCAUCAAUCAAGAAAGCACGCGCAACAAUUUUAUUUUCAAAAUAAAUUACACACAUAUCUUUAUUGAAAUAAAAAUGAUA
rnacentral:lncRNA from 1 species